UCGAGUACACCUAUAGAGCGCAAAAACUCCAAAAACAUCUUGUGUAUCGAAUUUACCACACUAGAACAGACACUAUGGCUUACAGUCUCUCCAAUAAAUCAAAUAAAUUACCACACAGGAUAUGAGAUAUAGCUGUCUUGCUAUUUCACUAGUCUAAAGCAAUUUCAACCAUUUUAAUGUUCCCUUGAUUUGUUGCUAGGUGGCCGAGGCGUGCCUCGGCAAGAUUUGAAGUAGACGAAUUUGGCGUGGUUUUUGACGAAACAAAUGAUCUGUUGUCGUUAUCCAAACGAUAAGAAAGCGGAAGUGGGUCUUCCGACGAAUCUUCACUCGAUUGCUCUCUUGAGGCUGACAGUAAAGGGACGUAACAUCUGAAAAACAGAUAGUAGGCUAACUCUAUGAUACCGAUGAAGCUCAAGCCUAAGCCAAGGCUAAGAAUACCACCAACAGCAGCUGUGAAAAUAAAUCAUCAUGAUAAAUUAUCUCCAUUAUAUCAAUUACAUUCUCAAAUGACCAAGGCAUCUUUACCAAUAAAGUUCUCUAUGCCGUAGUAGACUUGUGUCUUGUAUAGGAAACUUGUCUUCUCCUUGUAAUAAACAUGAAGAGUUGCUA